rnacentral:sRNA from 1 species
GUUUAGCCCCGAUAGCAGUGAAAAUCCUUUUGUGUCUCGUUUCUUUAGCGAGACACAAAAGAUUGUAACGAAUAGCGGGAAACAGC